rnacentral:rRNA from 1 species
GACGAACGCUGGCGGCGUGCCUAACACAUGCAAGUCGAGCGGAGAUAUUUGGAAAGCUUGCUUUUUGAAUAUCUUAGCGGCGGACGGGUGAGUAACGCGUGAGUAACCUGGCCUAUACAGGGGGAUAACAGUUAGAAAUGACUGCUAAUACCGCAUAAGACCACAGUAUCGCAUGGUACAGGGGUCAAAGAUUUAUCGGUAUAGGAUGGACUCGCGUCCCAUUAGCUAGUUGGCGGGAUAACAGCCCACCAAGGCGACGAUGGGUAGCCGACCUGAGAGGGUGAUCGGCCACACUGGGACUGAGACACGGCCCAGACUCCUACGGGAGGCAGCAGUGGGGAAUAUUGGGCAAUGGGCGCAAGCCUGACCCAGCAACGCCGCGUGAAGGAAGAAGGUCUUCGGAUUGUAAACUUUUGUCGCCAGGGAAGAUAAUGACGGUACCUGGUAAGAAAGCCCCGGCUAACUAC